AUGGGGGCCAACUUAAGCUAUGGACCAGAAGGGGUGGCCCAUGGGAAAGACAAAGCAGGAGGAAUUAGCACCACUUCCCGGCGGCCUUUGCGGGAACAAGAUGGCAGCCCCCAUACCUCAAGGCCAGUUCUGGUGACUCAGUCCUCAGCUAUAGUUCCAGUAAGAACUAAAAAACGUUUCACACAUCCUGUUUUUCAACCUAAAUUUAAAACAGAAAAAGUUUAUGGAACAUGCCCGGAAAGCAGGAUUGGUUAUUCCUCCAGAAAAAUCGGACCGUCCCAUACAUCUGGCCUGUACAGCUGGUAUAUUUGAUGCCUAUGUUCCUCCUGAGGGUGAUGCACGCAUAUCAUCUCUUUCAAAGGAGGGACUGAUACAGAGAACUGAACGAAUGAAGAAGACUAUGGCAUCGCAAAUGUCAAUCCGGAGGAUAAAAGACUAUGAUGCCAAUUUUAAAAUAAAGGACUUCCCUGAAAAAGCUAAGAAUAUCUUUAUUGAAGCUCACCUUUGUCUCAACAACUCAGAUCAUGACCGACUUUAUACCUUGGUAACUGAACACUGUUUUCCAGACAUGACCUGGGACAUCAAAUAUAAGACCGUCCGCUAGAGCUUCGUGGAAUCUUUAGAGCCCUCCCAUGUUGUUCAAGUUCACUGUUCAAGUAUAAUGAACCAGGGCAACGUGUACGGCCAGGUCACCGUAUGCAUGCACACCCGGCAGACUCUGGCCAUCUAUGACCGGUUUGGCCGGUUGAUGUAUGGACAGGAAGAUGUACCCAAGGAUGUCCUGGAGUAUGUUGUAUUCGAAAAGCAGUUGACAAACCCAUAUGGAAGUUGGAGAAUGUAUAGCAAGAUCGUUCCCCCAUGGGCACCCCCUAAGCAGCCCAUCCUUAAGACGGUGAUGAUCCCUGGCCCUCAGCUGAAACCAGAAGAAGAAUAUGAAGAGGCACAAGGAGAGGCCCAGAAGCCUCAGCUAGCCUGAUGACAAAAAUGACUUCUGGGGUGAAGCCUGGGUGAUGAGGCUGCUGGAAGCUUUGAAGUCUCCCAUUCCCAUCAUGCUAUAGAAAGAACUACCUUUGUUCUCUCCCAUCCUGCUCAGGUCUUUUCAGUAGUCUCAUCCUCAGCAACCAUGGCUGAUGGCUGGGCCCUAGCAGGUGGCAGGUAUAACAUGGCCAUGUACACUCUUCUUUUUUAAAUUUUAUGUCAAGCUUCUGAGGCUAGAUGAAAGACAGUAUGUUUCAGAGAACAUUGGAUACCAGUUUUUUCCACAGCAGGGACUGUGAGAGAGAACCAGCAGCAUCCUCUUUGUAAUCACAGGGCAGGGAUCAGAGUUUGAAAUAAAACUCUGUCAGUGU